AUUGAACGCUGGCGGCAGGCCUAACACAUGCAAGUCGAGCGGAUGAAGGGAGCUUGCUCCUGGAUUCAGCGGCGGACGGGUGAGUAAUGCCUAGGAAUCUGCCUAGUAGUGGGGGAUAACGUCCGGAAACGGGCGCUAAUACCGCAUACGUCCUGAGGGAGAAAGUGGGGGAUCUUCGGACCUCACGCUAUCAGAUGAGCCUAGGUCGGAUUAGCUAGUUGGUGGGGUAAAGGCCUACCAAGGCGACGAUCCGUAACUGGUCUGAGAGGAUGAUCAGUCACACUGGAACUGAGACACGGUCCAGACUCCUACGGGAGGCAGCAGUGGGGAAUAUUGGACAAUGGGCGAAAGCCUGAUCCAGCCAUGCCGCGUGUGUGAAGAAGGUCUUCGGAUUGUAAAGCACUUUAAGUUGGGAGGAAGGGCAGUAAGUUAAUACCUUGCUGUUUUGACGUUACCAACAGAAUAAGCACUGGCUAACUUCGUG
rnacentral:rRNA from 1 species